GACUGGGCAAGAACAGAGUUCUG
rnacentral:piRNA from 1 species